CCUACGUGAGGCAGCAGUAGGGAAUCUUCCACAAUGGGCGAAAGCCUGAUGGAGCAACGCCGCGUGGGUGAAGAAGGUCUUCGGAUCGUAAAACCCUGUUGUUAGAGAAGAAAGUGCGUGAGAGUAACUGUUCACGUUUCGACGGUAUCUAACCAGAAAGCCACGGCUAAAUACGUGCCAGCAGCCGCGGUAAUACGGAGGUGGCAAGCGUUUUCCGGAUUUAUUGGGCGUAAAGGGAACGCAGGCGGUCUUUUAAGUCCGCUGUGAAAGCCUUCGGCUUAACCGGAGUAGUGCAUUGGAAACUGGGAAACUUGAGUGCAGAAGAGGAAAGUGGAACUCCAUGUGUAGCGGUGAAAUGCGUAGAUAUAUGGAAGAACACCAGUGGCGAAGGCGGCUCUCUGGUCUGUAACUGACGCUGAGGUUCGAAAGCGUGGGUAGCAAACAGGAUUAGAUACCCCAGUAGUC
rnacentral:rRNA from 1 species